rnacentral:rRNA from 1 species
AACAGGAUUAGAUACCCUGGUAGUCCACGCUGUAAACGAUGUCGAUUUGGAGGUUGUGCCCUUGAGGCGUGGCUUCCGGAGCUAACGCGUUAAAUCGACCGCCUGGGGAGUACGGCCGCAAGGUUAAAACUCAAAUGAAUUGACGGGGGCCCGCACAAGCGGUGGAGCAUGUGGUUUAAUUCGAUGCAACGCGAAGAACCUUACCUACUCUUGACAUCCAGAGAACUUUCCAGAGAUGGAUCGGUGCCUUCGGGAACUCUGAGACAGGUGCUGCAUGGCUGUCGUCAGCUCGUGUUGUGAAAUGUUGGGUUAAGUCCCGCAACGAGCGCAACCCUUAUCCUUUGUUGCCAGCGGUUCGGCCGGGAACUCAAAGGAGACUGCCAGUGAUAAACUGGAGGAAGGUGGGGAUGACGUCAAGUCAUCAUGGCCCUUACGAGUAGGGCUACACACGUGCUACAAUGGCGUAUACAAAGAGAAGCGACCUCGCGAGAGCAAGCGGACCUCAUAAAGUACGUCGUAGUCCGGAUUGGAGUCUGCAACUCGACUCCAUGAAGUCGGAAUCGCUAGUAAUCGUAGAUCAGAAUGCUACGGUGAAUACGUUCCCGGGCCUUGUACACACCGCCCGUCACACCAUGGGAGUGGGUUGCAAAAGAAGUAGGUAGCUUAACCUUCGGGAGGGCGCUUACCACUUUGUGAUUCAUGACUGGGGUGAAGUCGUAACAAGGUAACCGUAGGGGAACCUGCGGCUGGAUCACCUCCUU